AAACGCAGUGUUUGUGUUUGUAUCCUGCAGCUCUGACACAUGCGCCGAAUUCUUUCUCUCCUCAUAAAGCUUUGUUGAGUUGCCGAAUGCGUGCGACUGUUGGUACGAUUAUGUAUCGCAUCACUGGCAUUCUUGCACAUGUGCUCCAAUGCUGGUGCAUGAUUAAAGGAAAACAAAACUGGUCCAUAGUGCUACUAGAGGUCAAAAACUGCACACUUGAAUCAAUAUUGAAACUACUUUUGAUCGUGAAACCACUAUCAACACAUCACUAAAUUCAUGGUCCAGCCGCUCAUUUGUCUUGUCUCAUCAAACCUCAUGUUAUAAACAAUUAACAUGUUCAAUACAUUCUAAUCAUUUCCAGUAGAAAUGACCCAAGUUGUAAUGAACCAGAAUUUUCCUUUAAGUCUGCGUGUGCCGGACAGUCAUGCUUUACUUUAUCUUUCUCCUCGUCUCUCUCUUUCUCAGGGCAGGAGUUGACUUUAAUUGCAUACGGUAUAUGCCUAUGGAAUGAUUUACAUAGAUUGUUGUAUUUAUUUUAAAACGCACUUUUUCAAGAAGCACUUUUGAUUUGUAUUCGGUGGCGCCAAGUGCCGCCACAUUAUUCCCUUCUCAAAGAGGCGGGAAUGUUAGACUUGAAUGGGUGAGUCAUGUAGAUACUUAGAAUACUUCUUCUUCUUCAAUGCUUUCUGCCAAAGUGUGUCUUCCCACCAGUGUACAACUGGGUUCCAUAUCUGUGAAGUAGCCUCCUUUCUUGCAGCGGUCUUACAGGUCUACAUUUAUCUCAAGCGGUCUUUGUUUGAUCUCUACCAUCUUUUUUUUUUUGUUGUUUCUUUUAAAGUUAUGUGAAAGAGCUAUCAGCAGCAGGAGAGGAUAACACAAGUCAGAGAAAGACUUUGAAGAUUCAUCUUAGAUCACAGGCUCUCUCUUUUUAUUAUUUUUUGCUUUUAUCUGUUCAGGGCUUUGAGCUGUUUGAAGUGGAACUGCACAGAGAGUUAGCAUCGCUUCAUGUCAGGGUUAGAAGAGGAAAAAAUAGGGCUGUUUUCUGUCAGGGUUGUGUACAGGGUCAGAAUAUUUUGUCCCCGCCGUCACCAAACCUAAGCACUGCAUCUGACCCUUACCAUUGUGUAUGUGUGCGUGUGUGUGUGUUUCCUUCACUUUGGGAGUGUGUCGUGUGCUGUAUAGCUACGGGUAUGUUGUGAUGUUACGCAUAAUGGCAUGAAGUACAAUACAGCGAUUUUUAAGUGCCAUUAAGUUUGCACAUUAGCCUCAUUCACCUCAUUGGGUAUGUGCUGUAUUGUGCCCGAAACUUUAAUGGAGAAACAAUGGGUGUUAAGUUGUUUCUUAACCCAUUGCUUGUUACUUACACUGAGGCCAUUUCAAAGUUGAAAGUUUCCCCCACAUAGCAGCUUAUCAUAUUUGGGUACGUGUGUGCGGGAGUGCUGGGAAAGACAGCCGUUGUUGUUAAAUGCCUUUUUUCUUUCGUGAAGCAGACUGAUGCUGGUGGGUUUUUUUUGUUUGUUUGUUUUUUUCAUUUAGAGAGUAAUGUGUCUGUUACCUGUUGUCAAUUUAGCUUGUACAUUCAGAUAUGAACCUAAUAAAUAUGUCAAAGAA
ensembl:lncRNA